rnacentral:lncRNA from 1 species
GGUUGCUUUUGUUCCCGCAAAUUUGCGUGGAGCAUUGUUUUUCGGCGAAAACGGGGCGUUCGGCCUUCCUGCUUUAUUUUUGAGCGGUGUAAGAGGGAGGUAGUGGGUAUCUUCGAGAAACGGCCGCCGCGGGGUCCGGAGCCCCGGGUUCCAAUCCCGGGUCGGCCACUGCAAAGCUGUGUGACCUUGGGCGAGUCACUUGGCCUCUCUGAGCCCCAGGCGCCUCCCCGGGAAAAAGAGGGUAAUAAUAACCGCCCCCGAGGUUUGUGCGAAGGUGUUGAGCUCACAGAGGGCCGGCACCGGCACUUUUGAGGCGGCUGACUUGCCCUGGGGGUGUGAUGGGAGGUGCAAGCUUUCUCCAAAAGCCUCGUCCAAAUGGAGCCUUUAAAUCCGCCUUCUUUCCGCGGCUACUUCACCAGCUCGCCAAACGCAGAAAAUGCAAACACAGGGGAGGGGGCAAGGGAGCUGACCUGGCUGGAAGUAAACAGAAACGCCACCCUCCCCUGGCACUUGCAUUGGCACCGGAUUGCAGGAUAUGGUCCAAGGUGCUGAAAACUUCCUAACAAAACUCUUCAGCCGAAUCUGGCACGCCUGUGGUUCCAGCUACUGGGUAGACCGAGGCAGGAGGAUCGCUUGAGGCCAAGAGUUUAAGACCAACCUGGGCAACAUGAUACAGAAAAGAACACAUAGAGACUUCGGGGGAAAGGAGACUAUGUGCAAGAAUGGCAGAGAUUGGAGCCAAGGAGUGCCUGGGCCUACCAGAGGCUGCAAGAGACAGGGAGGACCCUCCCCUAGAGCCUCCAGAGGGAACAGAGCCAUGCCCACACCUUGACUUUGGACUCCUGGCCUCCAGAACUGUGAGAGGACCUAGGACCCCACGAGAGGAGGGAUCUGGAGGCCAAGCCAGGAGCAGGACAACACCAACAGAGGCCUCAGAAGAAGACUCAGAGUGGGACAGGGGCUCCUUAAGUGAUUGGGGCUGGAAGUGCGCAGAGAAGCCCGGCGCGGCAGGGAAUUGUCUCUCCCUGGGGUGCUGCCAAGGUGUCUGUUGCUUGCCAGCUUUUCCAGCCAUGACUGCAGACAAAGUCCACCUAGAGUCAUAAAUGGGCAAUCAGCCCCGAACAACGUCCAGACCCGGUUUCUGCACGGCGAGGCGUUUUUGUCCAUGGCAGACUUGCUUACCCGGGUGUCUUUGGUGUGGGGCUAGAUGCAGCAUUUCCCCAGUGGGAAUGGCCCGGGGUCUUAUUUAAAGUGGAGGGUCCUAGGCCUGGCCCCACGUAUGGAGUCAGGGUCCCUAGGGGUAGGACCUUGGAAUCCGCAUUUUUUUUUUUUUGAGACAGGGUCUCCCUCUGUCACCCAGGCUGGAAUGCAGUGGCGCGAUCUCAGCUCUCUGAAACCUCUACCUCCUGGUUCAAGCGAUUCUCCUGCCUCGGCCUCCCGAGUAGCUGGUAUUACAGGCACGCACCACCAUGCCUGGCUAAUUUUCUAUAUUUUUAGUAGAGAUGGGGUUUCAUCAUGUUAGCCAGGCUGGUCUCCAACUCCUGACCUCAAGCCAUACACUGGCCUCCGCCUCCCUAAGUGCUGGGAUGACAGGUAUGAGCCACCGUGCCUGGCCAGGAAUUUGCAUGUUUGCUAGUAACCCUGCUCAUCUCAGUGCACACCAAAGUUUGAAACCACUGUUGGGGUGUGGAGCUCUUGCUUCCAGACUUCCAGGGCCUAUGGAUUGAACAACGGCAGCCACAGUAGUAAUUAGAAUUUUCAGUCUCAACCACAAGCCUGCCACGCAACAAGGGUUUCCUCCCGUUUUACAGAUGAGGGACCUGAGGCUUCAUAAGGCUGUUAUUGACCUGAGGUCGCACAGCUGAUGGCUCCUGGGUUCUUAGCGUUAAGUUUUGCGGCCUUAUUUCUGUUGUAUAUUUGUUUCUCGUAUUUCUGUGCUUCUUGCACUGCAAUUGUGAUAUCCUCUAAAAGCCAAGGAUGAACUCACUGCUGACCUUGGUUUUAUUUGUUUGUUUGUUUUCACCUUCACUUGUGAAAUGUGCAAACAUACUCAAAAGUCAAGAGAAUCAUAUGGUGAUUUUUCAUAGUCCCCUUUGGCCAGCUUCAGCAAAGAUGACAUUUUGCCACUCUUACUCCAUCCAUUUCUCUCACCCCACCCCCGACAUACACACAUGUUCUUUCUGGAGUAUUUUCAAGCAAAUACAGGAUUUUUAAAAACAUGUAAAUGACUGUGUUGUUUUGUCUGAUUAUGAUGCAAUACAUGUUCCUUAUGAACAUAUUAUAACUCGCUAAAAAACAAUAUAAAAAGCUACAAAUCAUCUCACUUCCCAGUCAUAACCAACUCUAAAAGAUACUCUUCUAGACACUUUUGUAUUCAAAUAUAUUUAUGCACACAUACUUUUACAAAAAAAAAGUAUACGACACAAAAAUAGGAUGGUACUCCACAUUUUGCAAUCUAUUUUUUUCACUUAACAAUACAUCCCAAAUGUCUUUUCAUAUCCAUGACUCUAUUCUAAAUCAUGGCUCUUAAGGGCAACACAAAUCUUUGUUUGAUUUAGCAUGAUUUAUUCAAAGAAUCCCCUCUAGUUGGGCAUUCAGGUUGUUUCUAUGCUGAGAGAGUUUCCAAAGGCAGUCCUGCUUACCCUGGACUUUUCAAGAGGUUGACACCCGAUCUGUCGCCUCUAGAUCCUGUGUAGAGUUCAGAGAAGUAUCAAGAAAGUGGAAGAACUGGAGAGCUUCCCAAUGCCAUCUGAAUCAUCUUCACGUUACCAUCACUGUUUUGUUUGAAAUGAAGUCUCAAGACAUGAGACACUCCCAGACUCAAGUGUGGUUAAAAAAAACAUUCCAAAGGCAUAUAACAUAUUGUUUGGGUGAUGAGGUGUAACUCUAAAAGCUCUGUUUUUGAACAAACAUACCAGGGCUCACCCAAACCCAAAACUCUGUCUCCUUCAAAGUCGUCACUCUAGAAGGCAGUACUCACACUGGGAUAAAACUGUAAUUGCUUGAAAAUACAUCUGUGAAUUCCUCUUUUAAAACUGUUUCAGGAUCUGGUGUCAGUAACUUUGGGACGUACUGCAGGCUGGAAAGCCUUCACGAUUCAAGGUGGAUUGAUUUCUAUAAAUAGCCUGUGCCCACCAAAUAAAUUAGAAACAACAGAAUCUAUGAUGUCUAGCUUGAGCAGAAACAGAUUUAUUAAAUUAUAACGACAUCUCAAAGUCUCUGGAAGGGAGAGAGAACUAGGUGGGGAUGCCAUUUUUUGUAUCUUGUUCAAUAAGAUGCCUGUUUUUGCCCGUUUUCUAUCAGGUUUUUGGUCUAUGUUUCUCUCCAUUUUUAAGAGCUUUUAUUGCGCGGGUGUGGCAGUGCAUGAAUCCCAGCACUUUGGGAGGCCGAGCUGGGCAGAUCACUUGAGGCUGGGAGUUCAAGACCAACCUGGCCAGCAUUGUGAAACCCCCGUCCCUACUAAAAAUACAAAAACUAGUUUGGUGUGGUGGUGGGCACCUGUAAUUCCAGCUACUUGGGAGUUUGGGGCAGGAGAAUCGCUUGAACCUGGGAAGCGGAGGUUGCAGUGAGCUGAGAUCACGCCACUGCACUCCAGCCUGGGUGACAGAGCAAGACUUCAUCUCCAGCCUGGGUGACAGAGCAAGACUUCGUCUCAAAAAAGCAAAACAAAACAAAAACAACAAAAACUAAAUAAAUAAAUAAAUGAGUUUGAGGGCCAUGCAAAAAAUAAAUGAGUGACACUGGAUGGUAUGAUAAAAUAGGGGGUGGUAAGGCUUGUGGCCAGUCAGAGAUUAAAACUACUUGUUGUUUGUUUGUUUAAGAGACAGGGUUGCCGGGCGCGGUGGCUCACGCCUGUAAUCCCAGCACUUUGGGAGGCAGAGGCGGGCAGAUCACUAGGUCAGGAGAUCGAGACCAUCCUGGCUAACACAGUGAAACCCCAUCUCUACUAAAAAUACAAAAAAUUAGAAGGGCGUGGUGGCAGGCGCCUGUAGUCCCAGCUACUCGAGGGGCU